rnacentral:rRNA from 1 species
AACGAACGCUGGCGGCAUGCCUAACACAUGCAAGUCGAACGAGACCUUCGGGUCUAGUGGCGCACGGGUGCGUAACGCGUGGGAACCUGCCCUUAGGUUCGGAAUAACUCCCCGAAAGGGGUGCUAAUACCGGAUAAUGUCUUCGGACCAAAGAUUUAUCGCCUUUGGAUGGGCCCGCGUUGGAUUAGCUAGUUGGUAGGGUAAAAGCCUACCAAGGCGACGAUCCACAGCUGGUCUGAGAGGAUGAUCAGCCACACUGGGACUGAGACACGGCCCAGACUCCUACGGGAGGCAGCAGUGGGGAAUAUUGGACAAUGGGCGAAAGCCUGAUCCGGCAAUGCCGCGUGAGUGAUGAAGGCCUUAGGGUUGUAAAGCUCUUUUACCCGGGAUGAUAAUGACAGUACCGGGAGAAUAAGCUCCGGCUAACUCCGUG